rnacentral:lncRNA from 1 species
UGUCAAUCACCACAUCCUCAUCAGCAGACUCGACAGCCUUGGUUUCUCAAAUGAUUGCCUCGCCUGGUUCACCAACUACUUCUCUGAUAGAGUUCAGUGUGUCAAAUCGGAGGGUCUGCUGUCCGGACCUCUGGCAGUCUCUAUGGGGGUGCCACAGGGUUCAAUUCUUGGACCGACUCUCUUCUCUGUAUACAUCAAUGAGGUCGCUCUUGCUGCUGGUGAGUCUCUGAUCCACCUCUACGCAGACGACACCAUUCUGUAUACUUCCGGCCCUUCUUUGGACACUGUGUUAACAACCCUCCAGGCAAGCUUCAAUGCCAUACAACUCUCCUUCCGUGGCCUCCAAUUGCUCUUAAAUACAAGUAAAACUAAAUGCAUGCUCUUCAACCGAUCGCUACCUGCACCUACCCGCCUGUCCAACAUCACUACUCUGGACGGCUCUGACUUAGAAUACGUGGACAACUACAAAUACUUAGGUGUCUGGUUAGACUGUAAACUCUCCUUCCAGACCCAUAUCAAACAUCUCCAAUCCAAAGUUAAAUCUAGAAUUGGCUUCCUAUUUCACAACAAAGCAUCCUUCACUCAUGCUGCCAAACAUACCCUUGUAAAACUGACCAUCCUACCAAUCCUCGACUUUGGCGAUGUCAUUUACAAAAUAGCCUCCAAUACCCUACUCAACAAAUUGGAUGCAGUCUAUCACAGUGCAAUCCGUUUUGUCACCAAAGCCCCAUAUACUACCCACCAUUGCGACCUGUACGCUCUCGUUGGCUGGCCCUCGCUUCAUACUCGUCGCCAAACCCACUGGCUCCAUGUCAUCUUCAAGACCCUGCUAGGUAAAGUCCCCCCUUAUCUCAGCUUGCUGGUCACCAUAGCAUCUCCCACCUGUAGCACAAGCUCCAGCAGGUAUAUCUCUCUAGUCACCCCCAAAACCAAUUCUUUCUUUGGCCGCCUCUCCUUCCAGUUCUCUGCUGCCAAUGACUGGAAUGAACUACAAAAAUCUCUGAAACUGGAAACACUUAUCUCCCUCACUAGCUUUAAGCACCAACUGUCAGAGCAGCUCACAGAUUACUGCACCUGUACAUAGCCCACCUAUAAUUUAGCCCAAACAACUACCUAUUUCCCAACUGUAUUUAAUUAAUUUAUUUAUUUUGCUCCUUUGCACCCC